CAAUGAACUUAAGAUUUAUAAAUAAGAUAAAUUAUCUUUAUUAGAA
rnacentral:tRNA from 1 species